rnacentral:rRNA from 1 species
CAGCUCAAAUUUGAAAGCUGGCUCCUUCGGAGUCCGCAUUGUAAUUUGUAGAGGAUGAUUCGGCGAGGGCUCCCGCCUAAGUCCACUGGAACGUGGCGUCAUAGAGGGUGAGAAUCCCGUAUGUGGUGGGCUGCCUUAGCCAUGUGAAUCUCCUUCGACGAGUCGAGUUGUUUGGGAAUGCAGCUCUAAAUGGGAGGUAAAUUUCUUCUAAAGCUAAAUACCGGCCAGAGACCGAUAGCGCACAAGUAGAGUGAUCGAAAGAUGAAAAGCACUUUGGAAAGAGAGUUAAAAAGUACGUGAAAUUGUUGAAAGGGAAGGGCUUGCAACCAGACUUGUCCGCAGUUGCUCAGCCGGUCUCCUGACCGGCGUACUCUUCUGCGGCCAGGCCAGCAUCAGUUCGGGCGGUCGGAUAAAGACCUAGGGAAUGUAGCUCCUCUCGGGGAGUGUUAUAGCCCUGGGUGGAAUGCGGCCAGCCUGGACUGAGGAUCUCGCUUCGGUAAGGAUGCUGGCGUAAUGGUUGUAAGCCGCCCGUCUUGAAACACGGACC